GCAAUAAGUAAUCCACCUGGGGAGUACGGCCGCAAGGUUGAAACUCAAAGGAAUUGACGGGGGCCCGCACAAGCAGUGGAGUAUGUGGUUUAAUUCGAAGCAACGCGAAGAACCUUACCAGGUCUUGACAUCGGAUGCAUAAUCUAGAGAUAGGCGAAGUCCUUCGGGACAUCCAGACAGGUGGUGCAUGGUUGUCGUCAGCUCGUGUCGUGAGAUGUUGGGUUAAGUCCCGCAACGAGCGCAACCCUUGUAUUCAGUUGCUACGCAAGAGCACUCUGGAUAGACUGCCGUUGACAAAACGGAGGAAGGUGGGGAUGACGUCAAAUCAUCAUGCCCCUUACGACCUGGGCCACACACGUACUACAAUGGCGCACAACAGAGGGAAGCAAGACAGCGAUGUGGAGCAAACCCCUAAAAUGCGUCCCAGUUCAGAUUGCAGGCUGCAACCCGCCUGCAUGAAGUCGGAAUUGCUAGUAAUCGCGGAUCAGCAUGCCGCGGUGAAUACGUUCC
rnacentral:rRNA from 1 species